GUCUGUGUGAAACUUUAUAUAAAGUCUGGCCUGCCCACUGAUAUUUUAAAGGGCCGCGGUAAUUUGACCGUGCGAAGGUAGCAUAAUCAUUAGUCUUUUAAUUGGAGGCUUGAAUGAAUGGUCGGAUGAGGGACAUUCUGUCUUUCUUAGUAAAAUGAAUUUAACUUUUAAGUGAAAAGGCUUAGAUUUUUUAGUGGGACGAUAAGACCCUAUAAAACUUUAUAUAACUUAUGUUAAAUUAUUGUAUUUAGUUAAAAGAUAUUUAAUUUAUUUUAUAUUUAGUUGGGGAGACUAUGAUAAAAUUUGUAACUGUUUUUUUUAUAAAAUAAUUAUAGUUAGUUUUUGAUCCUUUUUUAAAGAUUAAAAGAUUAAGUUACUUUAGGGAUAACAGCGUAAUUUUCUUUGAGAGUUCUUAUCGACAAGAGUAGUUGCGACCUCGAUGUUGAAUUAAAAUUUUAAAUGGGUGUAGCCGCUCAUUAAGUAGGUCUGUUCGACCUUUAAAAUUUUACAUGAUUUGAGUUCAAACCGGUGUGAG
rnacentral:rRNA from 1 species